rnacentral:rRNA from 1 species
GAUGAACGCUAGCGGCAGGCUUAAUACAUGCAAGUCGUGGGGCAGCAGGUCUGUAGCAAUACAGAUGCUGGCGACCGGCAAACGGGUGCGGAACACGUACACAACUUUCCUUUAAGUGGGGAAUAGCCCAGAGAAAUUUGGAUUAAUACCCCGUAACAUAGUGAAAAGGCAUCUUUUUAUUAUUACAGCAGCAAUGCGCUUAAUGAUGGGUGUGCGUCUGAUUAGGUAGUUGGCGGAGUAAUAGCCCACCAAGCCUGCGAUCAGUAACUGGUGUGAGAGCACGACCAGUCACACGGGCACUGAGACACGGGCCCGACUCCUACGGGAGGCAGCAGUAAGGAAUAUUGGGCAAUGGACGCAAGUCUGACCCAGCCAUGCCGCGUGGAGGAUGAAGGUCCUCUGGAUUGUAAACUUCUUUUAUCUGGGAAGAAAUCCAUCUUUUCUUGGGUGGUUGACGGUACCAGAUGAAUAAGCACCGGCUAACUCCGUGCCAGCCGCCGCGGUAA